CUACGGAGGGCUGCAGUGGGGAAUAUUGGACAAUGGGCGAAAGCCUGAUCCAGCCAUGCCGCGUGUGUGAAGAAGGCCUUCGGGUUGUAAAGCACUUUCAGUGGGGAAGAAAGCCUUGGGGCUAAUACCCUCGAGGAAGGACAUCACCCACAGAAGAAGCACCGGCUAACUCCGUGCCAGCAGCCGCGGUAAUACGGAGGGUGCGAGCGUUAAUCGGAAUUACUGGGCGUAAAGCGCGCGUAGGCGGUCUGAUAAGCCGGUUGUGAAAGCCCCGGGCUCAACCUGGGAACGGCAUCCGGAACUGUCAGGCUAGAGUGCAGGAGAGGAAGGUAGAAUUCCCGGUGUAGCGGUGAAAUGCGUAGAGAUCGGGAGGAAUACCAGUGGCGAAGGCGGCCUUCUGGACUGACACUGACGCUGAGGUGCGAAAGCGUGGGUAGCAAACAGGAUUAGAUACCCGAGUAGUC
rnacentral:rRNA from 1 species